ACGAACGCUGGCGGCAUGCCUAACCCCUGCAAGUCGCACGAGACCUUCGGGUCUAGUGGCGCACGGGUGCGUAACGCGUGGGAACCUGCCUUUAGGUUCGGAAUAACUCAGAGAAAUUUGAGCUAAUACCGGAUGAUGUCUUCGGACCAAAGAUUUAUCGCCUUUAGAUGGGCCCGCGUUGGAUUAGCUAGUUGGUGGGGUAAAGGCCUACCAAGGCGACGAUCCAUAGCUGGUCUGAGAGGAUGAUCAGCCACACUGGGACUGAGACACGGCCCAGACUCCUACGGGAGGCAGCAGUGGGGAAUAUUGGACAAUGGGCGAAAGCCUGAUCCAGCAAUGCCGCGUGAGUGAUGAAGGCCUUAGGGUUGUAAAGCUCUUUUACCCGAGAUGAUAAUGACAGUAUCGGGAGAAUAAGCUCCGGCUAACUCCGUG
rnacentral:rRNA from 1 species